AGCGAACGCUGGCGGCAGGCUUAACACAUGCAAGUCGAGCGGGCAUAGCAAUAUGUCAGCGGCAGACGGGUGAGUAACGCGUGGGAACGUACCUUUUGGUUCGGAGCAACUGAGGGAAACUUCAGCUACUACCGGAUAAGCCCUUGCGGGGAAAGAUUUAUCGCCGAAAGAUCGGCCCGCGUCUGAUUAGCUAGUUGGUGAGGUAAUGGCUCACCAAGGCGACGAUCAGUAGCUGGUCUGAGAGGAUGAUCAGCCACAUUGGGACUGAGACACGGCCCAAACACCUACGGGAGGCAGCAGUGGGGAAUAUUGGACAAUGGGCGCAAGCCUGAUCCAGCCAUGCCGCGUGAGUGAUGAAGGCCCUAGGGUUGUAAAGCUCUUUUGUGCGGGAAGAUAAUGACGGUACCGCAAGAAUAAGCCCCGGCUAACUUCGUGCCAGCCGCCGCGGUAA
rnacentral:rRNA from 1 species